rnacentral:rRNA from 1 species
GACGAACGCUGGCGGCGUGCUUAACACAUGCAAGUCGAACGGAGUGGCGAACGGGGGAGUAACACGUGGGUGAACUGCCUUGCACUUCGGGAUAAGCUUGGGAAACUGGGUCUAAUACCGGAUUGUGCAAGAUGAGCUCGCGGCCUAUCAGCUGGUGGGUGGGGGAAUGGCCUACCAAGGCGUCGACGGGUAGCCGGCCUGAGAGGGUGUACGGCAGCCUUGGGACUGAGAUACGGUCCAGACUCGUACGGGAGGCAGCAGUGGGGAAUAUUGCACAAUGGGCGGAAGCGUAAUGAAGCGACGCCGGGUGGGUGAUGAAGGCCUUCGGGUUGUAAACGCCUUUCGACAGGGACGCGGUACCUGUAUAAGAAGCACCGGCUAACUACGUGCCAGCAGCCGCGGUAAUAC